AAUAUUCUCAUUAAUCUUCAUCUUGCAUUGAUUAUUUCGUUAAUAACCGCUAGAAAAAAUAUGUUUAAUUCUCAAACCCAAUAUUUCCGAUUUUUAAUUUACAUGUUUUCUCGUACACUACCGUCAAAACCAACAUUGACAUUUCAUAACGAAGGAGCUGCCAUGUUGACUCGCUGAAAUCAAAUGCAAUAGAAUAGAAAUCAAAACAAAACCUACCUCAGAAUUCCAUUUUAAUACAAUAUUAUACGAACUUCGAUGGUUACAAAAAAGUUUAUAUUUUUGUGACAUUGACUAAAUAUUGCUUUUAUACUGCAACUUAAAUUAGUAUAUUGAUAGCUUUUAAAUUCGUAACAUAAAUAUCAAGCUUAUUUUCAUACCUUAAUGAACCCC
rnacentral:lncRNA from 1 species